AUGGCCGCUGGGGAGUUGGGAGAGCCAGGCUGGGGCUUCGGCAGGCCCAGGGAAAGUUCCCUUUCUAGGCUCUUUAUUAAAAAAUUUAGAAGGAGGAGUUGAGGCGCCUUGAAUUUUCCUUCGCGAGUUUGGAGACUAGCCGAUUUUUCAUGAAGCAAGCAAAGACCGCGGUCCCGGAUCCGGCAACAUCUACCUCAUUCUCUCCAGGCCUCUCCACUUGCCCGAGCUCUCAGCCACCAGGAGACAGAAGGAAGGGACUUCUGGGCUGCGUUGGGAGCGGGCACUGUCCCCUAUCUACUCCUGCUCGGUUUCCCAAAGUCCAGCGACAUCCGACCCUCCUGGGGGGAAAAAUACCAGUACCCAGACACCUCUGCACCCUGUUAUAUGACUGGGCUUGCUUCAGGAAUAUCUUACAAAGAAGAAGAAGAAGAAGAAGAAAGAACAGCUUGGAGUCAUGUUUACAUCUAGUUCUACUGACCGGUUCCCAUCUGGAGAGUUUAUUUAUAACUCCCUCUAUAACUCUCUGUUUGGAGGCACUGGUGGCUCUAUUGACAGACUGAUGUCUAGGAAAUAUUGCUCUAUGUCUAACCGUACCUAAAUGUGCUGUGGUUGUAUUUACAGAUUUAUGUUUGAGGGAAAUAUAAUUAUUUCCAUUGUAUUUGUGCAUAUACAGUAGUUAUAGGAGCAGAUUUAUAUAUGGGAAAAUAUACGACUCUCUUACAGCC
rnacentral:lncRNA from 1 species